rnacentral:rRNA from 1 species
AGCUCCAAUAGGAUAUAUCAAAGUUGUUGCAGUUAAAAAGCUCGUAGUUGAAUUUCUGGUGGGGUUAUUUGUGUUUAAGUUUUAGUUGGGCAACUAACUAUAACUUGAGCCACCCGCCAUAUUGUGGAAAUCUAUAUAAAGUUAAUGGUUUACUCUAUUGCUUUAUGUACCACUCAGUCACUGAGAGCAAAUUGGAGUGCUCAAAGCAGGCUUUAUUAGCUUUGAACAUUUUAGCUUGGAAUGACAAGAUAUGACUAUUGUUGUAUUUUGUUGGUUAUACAAUGAAAGUAAUGAUUAACAGGAACAGUUGCGGGGGUACUCGUAUUGAAAGGUCAGAGGUGAAAUUUUUGGAUUCUUUCAAGACGAACGACUGCGAAAGCAUUUACCAAGGAUGUUUUCA